UUGAGCUUCGUGAAGUUCAUUAGUGACCUUGACUAGAGACACUAUGUGAAAGGAUGGUAGGGGUAGAAGCCAAAUGAAGUGCACUGGGGAAAAGAAUGGAGGUUGGCAUGAGAAAGUGGAGGUAGUGACUACAAAAGAAUUCCAUGAAAAGGAAACUUCCUUACAUAUGCAAUGGCUAGAGCAUAAGCAACAAUCCUGCAGCAUUCAGUGAAAAUUUUGUUUUAAUAACAGAGGAGCAGAGCAGAAGGUAUCUGAGAGCCUGAUGCUUCUGAGAACCUACCUAACCAGCGUCUGUCUCUUUGAAUAUAAUUUUACAUGAGCUUCUAUGAGCUUUGCUCAAUUUCACAUCUGUUUUUUUCCUGGGGGAGUGGGAGAUUUUUGUUGUUAUAUGUGAUCAUACUUGCUGCUAAAUAAAACAGAAAGAGGA